ACAGGGCCGGGGACACCAGAAGACACUGCCCCAGCAGAGCUCAUCUGUUGCAAGUGCCCUGAGCGGUCACAUAAUAUUUUAUUCUAUUUGUUAAUGCUUACUAUAAGAAUUGUGAUACUUGUUCAGCACUGAAGAGAAGGGCCCUGCUGGGAAAUCAGUACUUUGGGCACCGGAAUGCAGAAAGCAACUGGAGAAACAGGCUACGCUCAACCCUGGGAAACAAGCUUUCUGCUCGUUGGCACUUGAUGUACCAGAAGCUCUUCAGGAGGCAGGGGACACAAGGAGCAGCGGGGUCAGAGAGGCUGGUCGUCAAGGACUUCCCUGCCACCUCCAAGAACAUGAAAAGGCCUUUGCCGGUCCCAUCCCACAUCCCAUUAUAUCCUCCGUCAAUUCCCUACGGUCUCCUUCCUGGUCCAAAGGGGCCUCGGGGCCUCUUUCCUCCCACACUCCCAGGGAAAGCACAAUGGGCCACUGCAUCAGUUUAGCUCUAACGAGCUCUCAGAACCAUCCUGCAAUGGACAUUAAGUGGUCAGCGACUUGCCAACGGAGAAGGGUUCCCUAGCCAAACCUGGCUUCCGCAGGCUCGGGGGAAAAAAAACACCAAGAAGAGAUCCAGAAGCCGGUGUCCGGUGGAUGCUGUGGGCACGCGAGCCGGGCUCCCAUCAGUCGGUGAGUCGGUGACCCUCCCUUCGCC